UAGGGAAUCUUCGGCAAUGGACGAAAGUCUGACCGAGCAACGCCGCGUGAGUGAAGAAGGUUUUCGGAUCGUAAAACUCUGUUGUUAGAGAAGAACAAGGACGUUAGUAACUGAACGUCCCCUGACGGUAUCUAACCAGAAAGCCACGGCUAACUACGUGCCAGCAGUCGCGGUAAUACGUAGGUGGCAAGCGUUGUCCGGAUUUAUUGGGCGUAAAGCGAGCGCAGGCGGUUUCUUAAGUCUGAUGUGAAAGCCCCCGGCUCAACCGGGGAGGGUCAUUGGAAACUGGGAGACUUGAGUGCAGAAGAGGAGAGUGGAAUUCCAUGUGUAGCGGUGAAAUGCAUAGAUAUAUGGAGGAACACCAGUGGCGAAGGCGGCUCUCUGGUCUGUAACUGACGCUGAGGCUCGAAAGCGUGGGGAGCAAACAGG
rnacentral:rRNA from 1 species